rnacentral:rRNA from 1 species
UACGUAGGGGGCAAGCGUUGUCCGGAAUUAUUGGGCGUAAAGAGCGUGUAGGCGGUCCGGUAAGUCAGCUGUGAAAGUCAAGGGCUCAACCCUUGAAUGCCGGUUGAUACUGUCGGGCUAGAGUCCGGAAGAGGCGAGUGGAAUUCCCGGUGUAGCGGUGAAAUGCGCAGAUAUCGGGAGGAACACCAAUGGCGAAGGCAGCUCGCUGGGAC